rnacentral:rRNA from 1 species
UACAGAGGUCUCAAGCGUUGUUCGGAUUCAUUGGGCGUAAAGGGUGCGUAGGCGGCGCGGUAAGUCGGGUGUGAAAUCUUGGAGCUUAACUCCGAAACUGCAUUUGAUACUGCCUUGCUUGAGGACUGGAGAGGAGACUGGAAUUCACGGUGUAGCAGUGAAAUGCGUAGAGAUCGUGAGGAAGACCAGUGGCGAAGGCGGGUCUCUGGACAGUUCCUGACACUGAGGCAGCGAAGGCCA